rnacentral:tRNA from 1 species
CGGCGGCCGGUGCGGUUGCCCGGGGCCGGGGCCGGGCCCGGAAGAACCUCAGCAGCUCUUCUUGCCGGUGCUGCCCGGCGACGCCGUC